GGACUUUUACAACAAGAGAUUAUCGUCAAUCUCUUAACCCAAGUGUAUCCCAACGCUUACAACCUCUCAAGGAUAAAUAUUACAAAUGAAUUUUCUCUCACACGAUGUGUUUGAUUGCAAAUGAAUUCUCAAUAUGUGAAUCAAAGAAAUAAAAACAAGUUCAAAGCUCAAUAAUAAUUUUAUGCUCAAUGAUAACUCUUGGAUCUCUCUUUGUUUGAAUUGGAUUGAGCUUAUUUAUAGUUGGAGUUGAAAACUAGUCAUUAUUGACUUUCUGCACACUGUCGGAUCGCCGUUAACUAGAUGUCGGAUCGCCAUUUUGACUGGUCAAUAUGACUGUUGGGCUGAUUUUUCAAAUUGUCGGAUCACCGUUUAGGUCCAGAGGCUAAUCUUCAGUUCUGUUAGAUAUCGGCGAGCCGUUUAUUACAAUUGUCGGAUCGCCGUUUAGGUCCAGAGGCUAAUCUUCAAUUCUGUUAGAUGUCGGCGAGCCGUUAUCAAGAUGUCGGAUCACCGUUUUCUACAGUAACUGCUACAGUGAAAUAUUUUUUAAAUUUAUCGUUUGACCCCAAAACUUUAUAAAACUAUAUUACGACCCAAAAUGUUAUAAAAUUUUACAAAUAGGUCCAAUUUCAUAAUUUCUAAAUAAUGUUUUGUUAAUCCCAAAACUUUCUGAAAUUAUGGUAUAACCAAAAAUGCUAUGACACUUUUCAAAAUAAGUCCUUUUCUAAAAUUUCAAGCAAUACUUGUUUAUUUCAAAGUUUUCAAAAUUCUUUCAAUUAAACCAUAAACUUUGAAAAACAACCAAUUUCAUAAAAUCAUUUUUCCAUUAAAUAUGAAACAUUUAUAAUGUGAAAAUAAUGAUUUAUUUAAAAAGAAUAAAAACAAUCAAUUUCAUAAAAUCAUUUUUCCAUUAAAUAUAAAACCUUUAUAAUGUAAAAAUAAUGAUUUAUUUAAAAUGUAUAAAAAAUAAUUUGAGCUUAAAAGAUUUAUCAUUCUUAAUCUUGUUUGUUAUCAUCAAAAUCAACAUUAUAGAAACAUAUAUGUUAACAAUCUCCCCCUUUUUGAUGAUGACAAACAUUUCAUGUAUUUAAAGAAUGAUUCCACAAAUUGCUCCCCCUUCUUGUUUGUUAUCAUCAAAAUCAAUAUUAUGGAAACAUAUAUGUUAACAAUUUUCUCUAUUCAAAUAUAGACAAAAUAAGUUAUACUAAUAUACUGCAAUAUUAUAUUUGCAUUAGAAAUUAGAGCCAUAGAUUCGUUCACAUAUGUCAAUUCAUUCAUAAUUUUGUUCUAAAUGCAUUAAUAGAUUAUUUUAGAUUUCUCGAUACAUCAUUCAUGAUUAAUUUAUUAUUAAGUUUUUAAAUUAUAAUCUCUAAAAAUAAAAUCUAUUAACUAUUCAUAUAGUUGACGUUUAAACAAACAUACGAGUAAAAAUUGAAAAAAAAUUAUAUUUCACUUAUAAAAAUUAUCUUCAUUAGAUUUUUUUUUUUACAAUAAACUUUAAAAAAACUACAAAGAAUAAUUUUUUGUUUCAAAAAAUGGGGUUUGAUUGAGUUUACCGAAUUUUCGGUAAUCUUAAAAGUUUGGUCAAAAAGCUCAACUCCUUGAAUCUUUUAAUUUCUCAUUUGGUAUCAUAGCCAUUGCUUCCUCAAUCUCUAGUUCGAUCGCAGGUGUUAGCUUCAAUUCGAGGAAAUGGAUCUAACAUAUUACUGUGUCAAUACAAUACAUUUUGAUAUAAUUUAUUGAUUCCUCCAAUAACUUAUUGCAUUUUACCAUUCAAUGAUAUAUAUAUAUAUAUAUUUUUUGUUCAGAUUGUAUAAUUACAACUUAUUGAUAAUUUGUAUUAUAUUUCAAAUUCAUUCAUAUGGCAUGGUUAUAAUAAUCUUUAACACCCUGCUUUAUGGCUCCCACGACGAAUAUUUUUCGCGCACAUAAAUAACGUCUUAAAAAAAAAAAUGGAGAGACGAUUUUUGAGGUGCAAUCAUGUUACUCCAAAUUUUUAAAUUCACCACACACGUGGAUAAUGUUAUGCUUCUAGUUCUAGAACUUGUAUUUCAUUAUUCAUUAUGAGGUCUAGACUACGUUGGCCCAUUAAGAUCUAAAUGGGCUUGAAACGUUGCCACAGAAACAUAAACCUAGCUUUCAUCAGAAGAAAUGAUUAAUAUAAAAAUUAACGUCUAUAUAUUAUAGAGGAGUGCUAGAGACAGUCGCUAGCUUCUUCUUUUACCACGUGUCUCAUUAUUUUGAUAUUUGUGUAAUUUUAAUUUAAUAUUAAAAUAUUGAUAACUUUUAAUUUUAUUUUAAGGGAGUACCUAAGUUACGACCAAUGUAUCUUACGUUUUUUGUCUUUUUCUUCUUUGGUUAAUUUCUUUUGGGUCCUUUUAACUUUUAACUUUUAUAAUUGUGGAUGUAUUUGACUUCUUCCAUCCCUUCUACACCUAUUUCUCAUUCUUUCUAAGGUUUUGUUUAUUUCUUUAAAUAACAUUACAUGGUUAUCAAAUUCAUAUAAAUCUAUAAUUUCAGAGUAGAUUUCUGGUCCUAAAUUUAUUAUUCCUAUUCUUUCUUGUUCUAGUAAUUCUAUUUUCUGACUUAUUAGAUUUAUGUAUAUAUUUAAUAUGUUUUCCCAUCCUAAAAUCAUGUGAUCUAUACAAUCUGCUAAUUCAUGUAUUAUAUUAAAUGCAUGUUGAUUAUGAUUCAUAAUGCUUCCCUCUUAUACCAAUAUAUUAGAAAUUUUAUAAUUUCAUCUAUAAACUUCAUUUUCUUUUCUAUUAAUAUUUCUCCUCUUAUUGUGUCUAUAUGCCUUUCUCUAAGUUCUUCUGUUAAUUCGAGUUCUAUGUUUCUUAUAUUAUUCUUAUCAAUUUUUAAAGCCAUUAUGAGAUUUUUUAUUUCUUCUUUAUCAUAUACUUUUAAAGUAUAUAAGUUGUUAACUAAUGUUUGUAUCGGAUCCAUUAAUUAGUUUUAUAAGAAGUAAAAUAUCAUCAAGAUUUUAAUUAGUAAGAGUUAUGAUUCUGGUUAUGGCUCUGAUACCAUCUUGUACGUGUGUACCAAAAAAAAAAACAAAUAUUACAAAUAAUUAAACAAAUUAAACAAAUAAAAUAAUCAAAUAUUCUGAAUGGUUAAACAACUUCUAUUUUUCUUAUUCUAAGAUUAAAAUAACGGACAUAUAUAUAUAUAGUUGAUUAAACAUAUCACUUGUAAUUAAAAAGUACGUGGCGUUGACAAGAUGAAGAGAUCCUUGGCAAUUCAGCCAAGAUAUUUAAUUCUCCUUUGGACCAGUAGCCCGCACACCUUGGUUUCCAGCCUAUAUACUUUUUUCAACUUAUAAUUCAAUUUCUUCAUUAUCUGAAUUUUCUAUGUAAUUUACAUAUGAUGGUCCAGCCUCUCUAUUUUCAUUUUCUAUAUAAGCCAGAGCUAUAUCAAUUCCUUGUUCUAUUGUCAUCAUAAUUAUGUUAUGCUUUAGAUUUUUUGAUUCGAUAUAGUUUAUUAUUUUCCGCUUUAUUUCCUAUGGGAGUUCUAAUGAAAAUACCGCUAACAGAUCUACGGUUCUAACAAGAUCUCUUUUACUUAACAAAUAUGAAUCUUGUUUAUAUGAUCCUAAAUUAAAGUCUAUUAUCAUCAUAAAAUUGUUAUAUGUUAUUCUAGUAUUAGGAUCUAACAUACAUUCUUUAGACUCGCCUAAAUAAAAUCUAUGAUUCAUUUUACAGAAAAGAACAACCAAAAAUUUGUUUCAUUUUAUGCUCUUCCUCCAUAAAUCUCCUCAUCAUUGAUUAUCAACAAACUUCCACCAAAGAUAAGGUUUGAGAAUUAUUACCUAGCUUAUCCUUAUUUCCUUGCCUUCCAAUCCUUUUCCAGUGACCUGCAGCCUGGUUGUCCUUAUUCCCUCAACGGCCUUCUUGCUUCAACGGGAUCAGUGGACUCGAUCGGCCUUACUGUAUGGAUUUUGAUCGAUAGGCUUAGAAAUGUUGAAUAAGUUUAAGUUUCUCUUUCCUCUCUAUAGGGUUAUUUGUUUUUGAUCAGUGAUGCCUUGAUUUAGGAAUUAGAGCUGUAGAGUUGUUUAGUUUUUUAUUUUUCAGAGGAUUCAUAUGCUAAGGAAAGACACUGAAUUAUGGUGAAUGAUAAGCUCUUAGAGCUUAUUGCUUUUAUUUAUAUUCGAAGUUACUUUGAAUUUAUGAUUACAUUUUUGCCCUUCUAUUAUUGGGCUUUUACAUUAUUGUUACAUUUUUGCCCUUGUAUUAUUGGGCUUUUACAUCACUUCUUUACAUCUAUCAAGCAUCUUGUUGUAGCUUUAUCACGUCCCUUAUCUUGCCAAGCAUCUUUAUCUAAUUUUGUCUUGUUGUAGCUUUAUCAAAUGUCUUCCAUCACAGCUUUAUCUUAUCUUGUAGCUUUAUCACGUCCCUUAUCUUGCCAAGCAUCUUUAUCUUAUUUUGUCUUGUUGUAGCUUUAUCAGAUGCCUUCCAUCACAGCUUUAUCUUAUCUUGUUUUAUGUUGUCGGCCACAGCUUGUCUGUCAUUGCUUUAUGUCCAUGAGUUGGUAAGCCUGCUCCAUGGUUUUACUACUACUGGGAAAACAAAUAGUACUUAUUUCGUUGAUGAAGUCUAGUAACAAAUUUGAAGGUGUAUGACCAUCCUCAGAAGUUAUAAGGAUGUAAUUCUGAAAUUUAAUAAUGGAUCUGAAAUUUCUUUUAUACAAAUCUUUAGCUAUGCUCCAUAUGGCCUUUAUUCUUCUGGCUCUUCGUGUUUUGAUCGAAGAUUCAUUUAUAUGAGGAACAUUUGUAUAUUCUGUUCCUACUUCGACUUUAAAAUUGUUUGUAAGAUGACCUACAGAAAUCAUAUAGAAAGCCUGGUAUUCUACAUUCUGAUAGUAUUCUGGGCUUAUGGUGUAAAAUUUCAAGUAUAUGGGUCUUUUUUGGGCAAACCUUGAGACUUCUUUUAUCAAUAAAUCAUCAAGGCUGGCUAUUUCUCGAAGGUCUAUAUCGGGAUAUACUAAGUCUAAAUAGCCAUAUUUUGCUAUUUUCCCAACAAGGAGUGGGUCUACUCCUUUUGUAACAAUCAUCCUAGGGUACAUAUUUUUUCCAAGUGCUUUAAAAAUUGUAUUAUUAUGAGAACAAGUGGAAUAUACCCAUGUAGAGAAUUGUUUAUACUCUUCUUCUUUUGGAUUUAGGGGUUUCUCCUCUUCUUCUAUGUAAGGAUUGUUUAUUUGAAUAAACUUUUUUAGAGUGUCUGAUUUUGGUGACUCAACUUCUAUGGAUAUGGUUUUAUUUAGAACUGGGUCAGAGAUUGGUUUAUCUUCUCUGAAGGGUCCACUACUGCUUCCUAUAUUUGGGUUUAUUUCUAUUGGGCUCGUGUUUAUAGAGAGCGCCUUUGUUAAGUCCUCUAUGUAUGACUCUAACAAAUGUACUCCUUUCUCAUGAGCCUCAGAAGCCUAUUUUAUGUAUUGUAUUGCAUCAAUUAUGUCAGAUGCUUCAGCCUUGAGUCUUUGUAUCUUGGCUUUUAUUUUUCCGAUAAUUCUAUUUGCUUCGGGAUUCAUUCUCCAAAUUUUAUGUUCCUGCUUAAAAAGUCUGCAAGGAAAUUGUUAGUCCCUUUUAUAUGUACUAUCUUAAAAUUGUAAUAAGACAGAUAAACUUGCCAUCUAUGUAAUCUUCUAUAUUGAGGUUCAUUCGGUAAAAUUUUAUUAAUAAGAGAACUUACUUGAGAGUUAUCUGUUUCUACAAUAAAUUAUUUUUGAAGUAAAAAUAAUGAGAAUUUUUUAAUUCCUUUGUAUAUUGCAAGGAGUUCUUUUUCAUGUACUGGAUAAUUGAUUUGUGCCUGAUUAAAUGUUCCAUUUGUGUAUCGACAAAUUUCAUUUAUAUCAGUUUUCAGAAUUGCUCCCCAGUAUAAAUCUGAUGCAUCUGUUUGAAUUAGUAAUUUAUCUUUUUCAUUAGGUAAUCUUAAUGCUGGGAGGUUUUUACAUUCUUGUUUUAAAUUUUUUACAGUUUCUGUAUGUUCUUCACUCCAUCCUCUAGUAUUAUUUUUUCUUAGUAAUUUCUGGAGUAUAUUUCUUUUUUUUGCUAGAUCUUUUAUAAAUCCUUCUGCAUAAUUUAAACAACCUAAAAAUUUUUGUAUUUGUUGUUUAUUUUCUAAUUUAUCUGGAAAUUCGAUUAUUUUUCUUCCUAUAUGGCUCUGAAGUCUAAUACCUUAUUUGUCGAGUAUCAUUCCUACAAAUUCUAUUUUCUUAUGUUCUAUAACUGGUUUCUUACUAGAUAAUACUAUACCUUCCUUAAUACAUAUAUUAACAAAUUCCUUUAAAUGGUGCCUAUGUUCUUCUACUGUUUCUGAUGCUAUUAAUAUAUCAUCAACAUAUACUAUAAUAUAGUUAUAAUUUCUAAAUAUUUUAUCCAUUCUACUUUGGAAAAUUUGAGGGGCAUUUUUUAGUCCAAAGGACAUUACUAACCAUUCAUAAUGACCUUGUGGGGUGCUAAAAGCUGUAUAAAGAAUACUAUUUUCUUCCAUUUUUAUUUGCCAAAAUCCUGAUUUACAGUCGAAUUUUGAAUAAUAGGUCUUAUUUUUUACAAGAUUUAUUAAUACCUCUUUAUUAGGGAGAAAAUAUCCAUCAAAUUUUGUAUAUUUAUUUAGUUCUUUAUAAUUUAUUACCAUUCUUGCUUUUCCUCUAACUUGUUCUGCUCUUUUCCUGACCAUAAAUGCUGGGCUGUUAUGUGGGCUAUUGCUACUCCUAAUGAGUUUUAAAUUUAAUAGCUCUUUUAUUUGGAUUUUGAAUUCUUCUCUAUCUUCUUCUGUAUACAUCAUGGGUUUUAAUCUUAUGAUUCUAUUUUCAAUUAAUUUUAUUUUUGCUUUAGGAUGAUCUGGUUUCCAUAAUGCUAACGGAUUUUCUCUAUAAACUUGUUCAAGUUGUGACCUUAUUGUUUCUAGUUGUAUAUUGUAACUCUGACCUUUUUGUAUUAAAUAAUAUUUUUCAUAAAUGUACUUAUCACCACGCUGGGCUGGCUGAACUCUGUAGGGUCGAAAUUCACGAGGGAUUCGUAAAAUAUGAUUACAAGGGGUUUUUAAGGUGAUCAUGUAUGUAGUUUGUUGGUAAUAUUGGAAUUGUUGUAGAAAAUCAUUGCCUAAAAGUAUAUCACAAUCUAGAUUAUUAUAUUGAAAGAUUUGGUUAAUACGAAUUAUUUUACUGCCUAAUAAUAUUUCAAAGUUUAAUAUAGAUUGAUUUACCUGUUGUUUAUCGCCAGUGAUUCCUACAAUUUUUAAUUUUUCAUUUGAUUUCCAUUUAUUGGAUAAAAAAGAUUUCAUAAUAGUUAUUUCACUACCUGUGUCAAUUAAAGCACAAGUAUCUAUAUCUUUUUCUGUUAUAUUUAUUUGUAUAUAGCCAGACAUAGGAUAUUUUACAUAAGUUUGUUUUAACAUGUGUCACAAACUAUUCUUUGACCUUGUAUAAGGAAAGUUAUUUUAUUUGGUUCAAUUUUGUAAUAUUCUAAAUCACUUAAAAAACUAUUUCCUAGUACUAUAUGUUUUUCUGGAUCUGUAGUCAUAAAUGAAUCUAUAUAACAAGGUACUAUUAUUUUAAGUCCUUCUAUUAUUACAGGGACUUUGACUUCUUGUUUACAAAUAUGUUUAUUACCAUUGAAAUCAGUAUAUUCAUAAGGAAUUUCUUUUUCUUUUACUAAAAGUCCUUUAUUUUUAGUAUGGUUCAUAUAAUUAUGGCUGGUACCCGUAUCUAUUAAUAUAAGUAUUUUUGUUGUAUAAUCUAUUCCAUUAAAGUAUUGACCUAGUAUUUUUAUUACACUAUUAGUAGGUAUGGAUCUAACUAUUUGUUUAUUAGUGCUUAAUCUUCUAGAUGAACUUCCUCUUAUUAGAGUUCUUCCUGCAAAACUUAUAGGAAUUAUAGAGUUUUCAUUAUUAUUAUCUAAAAAUGGUUUUCUAUCAUCUAUUUUUAAUUCAUAAUUAAUAGGAAUUUUGUAAUCUUGAAUUACAGGUUCUAUAAAUGUUGCUAUAUCUUCACAAUCCUUAUUAAUUUCUAUAUAAGGUUUAUUUCCAUAUAUUUCUCCAUAAUUCGAAUUACAAAAACUAUACAAAGCUGAGUAGUGUAUUGUCAUUAUUCUAUUUCCUUCUUUCAUUAGGUUUUUCUUUAGUAAUUUAAAAUGUAAACUUAAUGUUUCAUCUAUAUUUUUAUCUUUUAUAUGUACACAGUAUCUAGAGUGGCAGGUAAAUAAUAAUUUAGUGUAACAUAAAUUCCCUUCUACUGUCCCUAAAUGUCCUAUGCCAGGGUCUGUAAAUCUUUGGUCAUGUAAUGAUAGAACUAUGGGGCUAUCUAUUCCUUCUUUGAAAAGAGAUUUUAUUAAGAUUUGGAUUUCUGCCAAAUAUACAUAUUGAAUUUUUUCUUUGAUUGAUUCACUUUUUAUUUUUCUUAAUGCUAAGUCUAUUGACCUUUUAUUAAGCAAACUAAAUCUAAUAUUUCCUUCAGCUUGUGUAAUUGUUACAGCUUUUUCUUGUUCAUAAUAUUCAUGUAGUAUAAUUCUUUUUCUUUUAAAUAGAUCUCUAAAUCUAUGCAGUAUUCCAUAUUCUGGUUUUUCCAUAUUUAAUUUUAAAAGUUUAUUAUAUUUUUCUUUAUUAAAAGUGGCUACAAGACUAUAUCCACUUUUAUUUUCCUCUUUUUCUAUCUCUUCUAUUUCUUCUAUUCUUUCAUUUUCCAUUUUUUCUUCUUUAUUCGGAUUCAUCUUCUGAUUUUUCUACCAUGUAAACUUCUUUUCCAUCAUAUUCUGAGAGAUCACUUAUUUCUUCUAAAUCACUUUCUAUAUUUUCAAAAUCUUCCUUUAAAAGCCUAACUUUCUUUUUUGUACAAUCUGUACUGAUGUGUCCCAUUUCUCCACAAUUCCAACAUUUACAUUUGGUUUUAUCUAAUAUUUUUCUUUGGUUUUUAUAUUUUCUUUUAUAAUAUUUUCUUC
rnacentral:lncRNA from 1 species